rnacentral:lncRNA from 1 species
CUCCCUUGCUGGGUAUGGGGAAGGGGCGUCUUCUGUCCUUGUGGUCCGCUUCUAGGCUUUUUGGAGCAUCUUCCAGGGUCACUCCAGAGACCCCCCCAGACUACUGAAUCUGAAUCCGUUAGGGUGGUCCAACCUUCCUCUUCAGGUGUCUACUAGAGGCAAGGUUGGAUGUAUGCGGCUGCCCUCAGUACAGCCCCUUCCUUGUUUUUUCUUCAUUUGUGUUUACUUAAAACAUUAAUCCUUUUCUCCCUCUCCUCCAUCCCUCUCCCUCCCCUACUAUACAGUUAUUGACUUACACUAAUUCAUUCCCGAUGAUCUCCCAGAAGGAAAUAAGUGUCUGUCUGUCUCUGUCUCUGUACCAUCGUCUUCUUGGUACAGUUCGGACUAUUUUUUCUCUACACCCCAGUUAUGCAAAGUGUAGUCCCUGAACCAGCAGCCUCAGCAUCCUGAGGGAAUUUGUUAAAAACGCGAAAUCUCAAGCCCUACCCAGACUUACUGAAUCAGUGUCUGCAUUGCAACAAGAUCCCCUGGUAAUUCCUAUGCACAUCAAAAUUUGGAAGGCACAGCUCUCAACUGAUGUCCUGGGUCUCCUUCACAUCCAUCCUGGGAAGGUCUUAUUCCUCAUUCCUGAGCUCAUCCCACUGAAGAGCUAUGGCACUUCCAAUUCCUGAGCCUUUGUGAGGUUCUGCGUGUCAGUAAGCUUGCUUCCGGGCAUCACCUCCGAAAACACUUGGGUUUCAGUUUUCUCUGUGAGGCUUCUUAAGGAGUGGAGGAAAGUGGAUGUUUUCAAGAUAACGCAGCUAACAUUCAAAGAGGUUAAGUGAAUUGUCCAAAGUCACACAGCAAGCACUGGAGGUAAGAUUCAAACCUGAAUAGUCUAUCAUUUCAGAGUACUUUCAACACUAUGCAAUACUAUCUCUCUAGCAAUCAGCCAGAUUGAAUAAGAUCUGUAGUUCACAGAGCCACUUGCAUUUUUAAUCCUAGUUUAAUUAACUUAGGAAAUUUGUAUCUAAAGGAUGCAUCUUUUUUUUUUUUUUUUUCAAUAGAGGCAGUGUCUCACCAUGUUGCCCAGACUGGCCUCAAACUUCUGGGCUCAAACCAUCCUCCCAUCUCAGCCUUCCAAAUGCUGAGAUUACAGGCGUGAGCCACCACGUCCCACCGGGAUACAUAGGUUUUACGGUAUCCUCUGAACCUCCCUUUAAUCAAGAGAGUGGACAAAACUGUGGGUCCCUCAUUUUCAAAAUGGCCAGUAAAAGAGGAAAUAAGGAUAUGCAAUGUUUAGUUAUUUUCUGCUGCCCUCUUUAAGUUGAUUGGGGAUCUCUUUGUCACUACUUUGGGAAGAUAACUUACCUUCUUAUCCACUAUGGCUAAUUGGAGCUUUUCUCAUGUCUUUAUGGUUGCUGGGAAAUUUUCAAAUAAAAUUCACUGGGAAUGGUUUGAAAUUGCAGAAUUUUUAGCCUCCCGAUGUUUUAUUUUCCUCUAGUGAGUUGGACAUAAAUAAUAUCCUCUUUUGAGAUUUGUAUCUUUGAAAGACAUUUUUUUUUAAGUUUCUCAGUGAAACAAAGAAAAAAUUAGA